GUGCUCACUUCGGCAGCACAUAUACUAAAAAUUGGAAUGAUACAAUGAAGAUUAGCAUGGCCCCUACACAAGUAUGACAUGCAAAUUUGUGAACUGUUCCAAAUUAAA